AGAGUUUGAUCCUGGCUCAGAAUCAACGCUGGCGGCGCGCUUAACACAUGCAAGUCGCACGAGAAAGGGGAGCAAUCCCUGAGUAAAGUGGCGUACGGGUGAGUAACACGUGGAUCAUCUACCUUUUAGUGAGGAAUAACCGAGGGAAACUUUGGCUAAUACCGCAUAAGCCCGAGAGGGGAAAGUCGAAAGACGCUGAAAGAGGAGCCCGCGGCCGAUUAGCUAGUUGGUAGGGUAAGAGCCUACCAAGGCAGAGAUCGGUAGCCGGCCUGAGAGGGCACACGGCCACACUGGCACUGAAACACGGGCCAGACUCCUACGGGAGGCAGCAGUGGGGAAUCUUGCACAAUGGGGGAAACCCUGAUGCAGCGACGCCGCGUGAGCGAUGAAGCCCUUCGGGGUGUAAAGCUCUUUCGUCAGGGAAGAUAGUGACGGUACCUGGAGAAGCAGCUGCGGCUAACUACGUGCCAGCAGCCGCGGUAAUACGUAGGCAGCAAGCGUUGUUCGGAGUUACUGGGCGUAAAGGGUGUGUAGGCGGUUCCUUAAGUUUGCUGUGAAAUCUCCCGGCUUAACCGGGAGGGUGCGGUGAAUACUGAGGGACUAGAGUACGGGAGAGGAAAGUGGAAUUCCUGGUGUAGCGGUGAAAUGCGUAGAUAUCAGGAGGAACACCGGUGGUGUAGACGGCUUUCUGGACCGUAACUGACGCUGAAACACGAAAGCGUGGGUAGCAAACAGGAUUAGAUACCCUGGUAGUCCACGCCCUAAACGAUGCAUAUUUGGUGUGGGGCAGUUCAUUCUGUCCGUGCCGGAGCUAACGCGUUAAAUAUGCCGCCUGGGGAGUACAGUCGCAAGGCUGAAACUCAAAGGAAUUGACGG
rnacentral:rRNA from 1 species